GACGAACGCUGGCGGCGCGCUUAGCACAUGCAAGUCGAACGGAAAGUCCCUGCUUUUGUUUGGUUCUCUAGUGUCGAACGGGUGUGUAACCCGUUAGUAUCCUUCCCUUGACUUUGGUAUAUCUUCAGGUAACUUGUUCUAAUACCUGAUUUGAUCUCCUGCUUCUUGGUGGUGCUUGUAAAUUUUCGGCGGUUGGGGAUGGACUGGCGGCUUAUCAGCUUGUUGGUUGGGUAGUGGCUUACAAAGGCUUUGACGGGUAGCCGGCCUGAGAGGGUGACCGGGGACAUUGGGACUGAGAAAGGGAACAGACAAAUAAGGGAGGAAGGAGAGGGGAAUAUUGCACAAUGGGAGGAAGCCAGAUGAAGAAACGGAGGGAGCGGGAUGAAGGACUUCGGGUUGUAAACAGAAUUGGCCUGUGACGAAGAGUGAGUGACGGUAAUGGGUAAAGAAGCACCGGCUAACUACGUG
rnacentral:rRNA from 1 species